GUGACAAAUGUGCACCCAACACCCUACAGAAAAGAAGAACCAUAAAAUAAUUAAUUAUUCCAUUGUAACUCCUGCCUGGAAAACAUCUGAAAGAAGUCACUAGAUUCAGCCCACAUUCAAGAUGAGAAAUACCAGAAGGCAGAGAACACUGAGGCUGUUUUAGAGGCUGUCAACCCCAGGGAGACAGACAGCAAAUAAGUAAGCAAAUAAAUAAAAAUGGAAGGUGAUAAUAAGUGCAAUGAAAAGAAAUGAAGCAGAGUAAAGAAUCAAGAGUAGCAGUUGAGGGGAUGCUUGGAUGUUUUCACACCACUCUGACACAUGGAUGGAAGGUUAGAAGACAACAAAGGAAUGGGCUGGGAAGGACUCCAAAAGCAGAAUCAGAGAUUAUAUCAUUCCUUGGAAAUGGAGAAAAGGAUCAAAAAAGCUGAAUAAAAGGCAAACAUGGAGGAACAGAGUUUGGAGCAAUACCCUGACUUACAUUCAGUACUGUUAAUGGCUCCAGCAUCUUGAAACAAACCAAUUUUGGAUUUUCAGUUUAAUUGUUAUUCUUGAGAAGUCGG
rnacentral:lncRNA from 1 species